GACGUCGAAUAUCGACGUCAUAAACACCAAAGUUGAUCGUGUUUAUAACGUCGACGUCAUAAACACCAAAGUUGAUCGUGUUUAUGACGUCGAAUAUCGACGUCAUAAACACCUAAGUUGAUCGUGUUUAUGACAUCGAAUAUCGACGUCAAAAACAUCUAUGUUGAUCGGGUUUAUGACGUCGAAUAUCGAAGUCAUAAACAUCUAAGUUGAUCGUGUUUAUGACGUCGAAUAUCGACGUCAUAAACACCAAAGUUGAUCGUCUUUAUAACGUGGACGUCAUAAACACCAAAGUUGAUAGUGUUUAUGACGUCGAACAUCGACGUC